rnacentral:rRNA from 1 species
UUGAACGCUGGCGGCAUGCUUUACACAUGCAAGUCGAACGGCAGCGGGGGCUUCGGCCUGCCGGCGAGUGGCGAACGGGUGAGUAAUGCAUCGGAACGUACCCAGUCGUGGGGGAUAACUACGCGAAAGCGUGGCUAAUACCGCAUACGCCCUGAGGGGGAAAGCGGGGGACCUUCGGGCCUCGCGCGAUUGGAGCGGCUGAUGUCGGAUUAGCUGGUUGGUGGGGUAAAGGCCUACCAAGGCGACGAUCCGUAGCUGGUCUGAGAGGAUGAUCAGCCACACUGGGACUGAGACACGGCCCAGACUCCUACGGGAGGCAGCAGUGGGGAAUUUUGGACAAUGGGCGCAAGCCUGAUCCAGCCAUGCCGCGUGAGUGAAGAAGGCCUUCGGGUUGUAAACUGCUUUUCUACAGGAAGAAUUUUGACUGUACUGUAGGAAUAAGGAGCUGCAAACUACGU